rnacentral:lncRNA from 1 species
AAUACUAGGUGCACACCGCCUUCUUCAAGGUUGCAGGGAAGGUGAGGUAGAGAAGAGCCUACAUGGCACCAUGAAGCAUCAUAAGGGCUUUAUAGCCCUUGAGAUGAUCUAGGAGGUCGGUGGAGCUAUCAUGUGGUUCCACCGCCUGCAUCUUGAACCAAUUUGGGAUCGGUUCUUAGAGGAUGGAGGGAUGAAAGGCGGUCGAGAACUAAAGUUGAAAACAUCAUCAUUUCCCCUGCCACCCACUUGGACCUCAGCAGCUCAAUCUCACAGAUCUUCCGCUCAAAGUCUUCAUCC